rnacentral:rRNA from 1 species
UUGAACGCUGGCGGCAGGCUUAACACAUGCAAGUCGCGCGGUAGCACAGGGGAGCUUGCUCCCUGGGUGACGAGCGGCGGACGGGUGAGUAAUGUCUGGGAAACUGCCUGAUGGAGGGGGAUAACUACUGGAAACGGUAGCUAAUACCGCAUAACGUCGCAAGACCAAAGAGGGGGACCUUCGGGCCUCUUGCCAUCAGAUGUGCCCAGAUGGGAUUAGCUAGUAGGUGGGGUAAUGGCUCACCUAGGCGACGAUCCCUAGCUGGUCUGAGAGGAUGACCAGCCACACUGGAACUGAGACACGGUCCAGACUCCUACGGGAGGCAGCAGUGGGGAAUAUUGCACAAUGGGCGCAAGCCUGAUGCAGCCAUGCCGCGUGUGUGAAGAAGGCCUUCGGGUUGUAAAGCACUUUCAGCGAGGAGGAAGGUGGUGAGCUUAAUACGCUCAUCAAUUGACGUUACUCGCAGAAGAAGCACCGGCUAACUCCGUG